GAUGAACGCUGGCGGCGUGCCUAAUACAUGCAAGUCGAGCGAAUGGAUUAAGAGCUUGCUCUUAUGAAGUUAGCGGCGGACGGGUGAGUAACACGUGGGUAACCUGCCCAUAAGACAGGGAUAACUCCGGGAAACCGGGGCUAAUACCUGAUAACAUUUUGAACCGCAUGGUCCGAAAUUGAAAGGCGGCUUCGGCUGUCACUUAUGGCUGGACCCGCGUCGCAUUAGCUAGUUGGUGAGGUAACGGCUCACCAAGGCAACGAUGCGUAGCCGACCUGAGAGGGUGAUCGGCCACACUGGGACUGAGACACGGCCCAGACUCCUACGGGAGGCAGCAGUAGGGAAUCUUCCGCAAUGGACGAAAGUCUGACGGAGCAACGCCGCGUGAGUGAUGAAGGCUUUCGGGUCGUAAAACUCUGUUGUUAGGGAAGAACAAGUGCUAGUUGAAUAAGCUGGCACCUUGACGGUACCUAACCAGAAAGCCACGGCUAACUACGUGCCAGCCGCCGCUGUAA
rnacentral:rRNA from 1 species